AAACCAACAGGGAUUGCCUUAGUAACGGCGAGUGAAGCGGCAAAAGCUCAAGUUUGAAAUCUAGUACCUCCGGUGCUCGAGUUGUAAUUUGAAGAUAGUUUUCUGGUACUGGCCCUUGUCUAUGCUCCUUGGAACAGGACGUCAUAGAGGGUGAGAAUCCCGUCUGAUGGGGUGUCCAGUGCUUUGUAGAUUUCUAUCGAA
rnacentral:rRNA from 1 species